GUCGAGAAUAAUUCACAAUGGGGGCAACCCUGAUGGUGCAACGCCGCGUGGAGGAUGAAGGUCUUCGGAUUGUAAACUCCUGUCAUCCGGGAGCAAGACCUGGCCGUGAAUAGCGGACAGGGUUGAUAGUACCGGAAGAGGAAGGGACGGCUAACUUCGUGCCAGCAGCCGCGGUAAUACGAAGGUCCCGAGCGUUGUUCGGAAUCACUGGGCGUAAAGGGAGCGUAGGCGGCGCGGUAAGUCAGAUGUGAAAGCCUAGGGCUCAACCCUGGAACUGCAUCCGAUACUGCUGUGCUUGAGCAAUGGAGAGGUAGCCGGAAUUCUCGGUGUAGCAGUGAAAUGCGUAGAUAUCGAGAGGAACACUCGUGGCGAAAGCGGGCUACUGGACAUUUGCUGACGCUGAGGCUCGAAGGCCGGGGGAGCGAAAGGGAUUAGAAACCCUGGUAGUCC
rnacentral:rRNA from 1 species